rnacentral:rRNA from 1 species
UGGGGAAUAUUGGACAAUGGGCGAAAGCCUGAUCCAGCCAUGCCGCGUGUGUGAAGAAGGUCUUCGGAUUGUAAAGCACUUUAAGUUGGGAGGAAGGGCAUUAACCUAAUACGUUAGUGUUUUGACGUUACCGACAGAAUAAGCACCGGCUAACUCUGUGCCAGCAGCCGCGGUAAUACAGAGGGUGCAAGCGUUAAUCGGAAUUACUGGGCGUAAAGCGCGCGUAGGUGGUUUGUUAAGUUGGAUGUGAAAUCCCCGGGCUCAACCUGGGAACUGCAUUCAAAACUGACUGACAGAGUAUGGUAGAGGGUGGUGGAAUUUCCUGUGUAGCGGUGAAAUGCGUAGAUAUAGGAAGGAACACCAGUGGCGAAGGCGACCACCUGGACUAAUACUGACACUGAGGUGCGAAAGCGUGGGGAGCAAACA